GAGGGUUAGUGUCGUACCUUACUAUGUGACUACUCACCCUCCAGCUAUUCAAAAACAGCAUUGACACCCAAGAGAAGCUCAGAUUGAACCUCCACUCAUUGAGUGUGAGUGAGCUUUUAGAAUACGGGCGUUAGUGUGCCAAUCAUUACUAGCAGAAUGUCUUUUCUAUGUCUGUGUGGUAAAAAAUAGAUUGCCCCAAGAAUUCUUAAGUGACAAGGCGGUAUGGUUUACACUACCAAAGUUUCUGUUAUCACAGUAGGAAUUUUGCAUAGAUAUAAAUUCUACGUUUUGAAGGAUUUGUGAGAAAUACUUGA